GCUUAGCUGGUGUAGUGGUAGCACACGCCCCCAGUAUGGAUGUAGUGCGGGUUCAACUCCCGUACGAAGUA